UUACUUCGACAGUGAAUAUACUAAAAUUGGGCUGAUACAGAGAAGAUAACAUGGUUCCUGAACAAAGAUAGCAUGCAAAUCCAUGAAGUAUUCCAUGCAAAA